rnacentral:rRNA from 1 species
UACGUAGGUGGCAAGCGUUGUCCGGAUUUACUGGGCGUAAAGAGCGCGCAGGCGGUCGUUCAAGUCGCGUGUGAAAGCCCCCGGCUCAACUGGGGAGGGUCACGCGAUACUGAUCGACUCGAAGGCAGGAGAGGGUAGUGGAAUUCCCGGUGUAGUGGUGAAAUGCGUAGAUAUCGGGAGGAACACCGGUGGCGAAGGCGGCCUUCUGGACAGCAUCUGACGCUGAGACGCGAAAGCGUGGGGAGCAAACAGG